GCAAUACCAGGUACAGAAGCCUAUUGACUCGGCCCUCUGCUGUCUGUAGGUUGAAUUCCCCGCCGCGGAUGUUCAAUUGCAUUGAUUUGUUUAUGUUUGAUCAAAUCACGUGGCGAGCUAUAAAUAGCACGGCCUCAGAAAGACAACAUAGAGCAACACACGCACAGACAGCGACAUCACAGACAGCUUGCCAUUUUGACGUGAAAACAGGAAAAAAUUGUGCUACUAAGGCUUGAAAUGUUGUUACCUCCAGAGGUAGACGUAUCUGUUUUGGAAGGAGACUUCUCAUUAACCAGCUUUGACGUUUUGGACUUCGUCGAAUCACAGCAGCUGUCUCCUUGUUCAAACACUUCCGUCAACACGUUCCUAAGAGAUCUCAUCCAACAAGGGGUGUCGCAGCCAACAGUCGUCAGCAACAAGGAAGAGUCUGAGACGCAGGAAGAAGUACCUAAACAACAAACCAAUGGGAGAGUGCCACGUCAUAGAAAAAAUUCCCACAUCAAAGCUGAGAAAAAAAGACGGAAGAAAAUCCACGAACAACUCCGCUCGCUUCAUGAUUGCGUUCCGGCACUGGCGCCGAGCAAGAAUGAUAAGAGGCUAAGUGAACUCGAAUCCCUUGAAGAAACUGGAAAAUAUAUUAAAGAGAGGAAGGUCCGCCAUGACACUCGCAAGGACGAGAUAGAGAAACUAAAACGGGAAAGAGAAAGUCUGAAAAUGGAACUGAACACAUUCCAAGCUGCGCUACCAUCCUCGGGGUUAAAGGACACCCGUCAAGAUUCGAUUCUAGAUCGUUACGACGCUUACACCCGCCGGAAGUUCACAGAGACGUGGCGCUAUGGCCUUUAUGACCGGAUUGUAGGCAGGAAGCUUGCAAAAUCAUAUGCCGAGCAGACAAACACCAGCACGGCGGAAACCUACAUACAGAGCCUGAUGAAGUGGACUGGGUCCUGUCUCACGCUCACCAAUCUCAGACCAGCGGUCAUCACCGGCCUCCGGAACGUGUCCACUAGCACAAGCAUUCUGGUCAGCCCAACCGCUGUCAAGCAAGAGCUGGCCCUCUCCAUGCAACAGCAUGUGUCCACUACAUUACCGGCGACUGCAACUACGUCUGUGGUGACUACAGCUGCACCCACGGCUGCAACUACAACUACAACAAGCACGUCAGCUUCGUAUUCUCCAUCGUCAUGACCUAGGUUUGUGGAGGCUGGGCGUGGCUCACUCACCUCCAUGAGGGGAUCGGAGGCGUUCAAGAAUAUUUCACUUACUUGCCCCAUCAAGCCGAAAGCCGGCAGGAUAACAUCUAGGACAACCAUUUGGUAUGAUGCGGCCGGGGAUGGAACCACUGACCUUCCGCACUCCGAGCAGAUGCUCCACCCACGAGACCACGGAGGCGGUCACUUCAGGACAAUCUAUGUGGACUGUCGAUAUCUGGGACUGAAGGAACAAUUCAAAUAUUACCCAUAUGGGCACGAAUGAAGGUGAUAUUAUUUUCAGUAACUCCCAUUCUGCACACAAAUGUUGUGACGUAACGUGAACGGGUCCGUGCAAUAAGCUGGGCUCCGUCUCUUCAUAUCACAAAUUGACGACGAGCAUUGAGAGACUGGAAGCAGCGACCUUUAAAAGAAGGGUUCUCAAGUCUCCACGCAAAAUCGUAUUGGUGUAAAAAGUCCGAUUUUAAUUAGAUUGACUCAAUUUGACAAUCAGGAAUCCCACAUUUUUUAAAUACUUUCUCCGAAACAUGACAAUGGGUAAUUUCAAGUAUAACCCUCAGCUGGAAAUAUUUUCUGGAAUUUGGGCCACCAAGAGCCCACAUAAUAUAUCUGUAAAUGCUGGCUAAGUUUUUCUAUGUCAGGCCUGUCAUUAUGUUUGCUGUAUCAUGAAAUUCUACCAUCGUUUCCUUCCAUCAUAUCGACUUGUUGACGUUUAUAUAUUUUUGUUCUUUGGGAUUGAACGUUUCCCCCUGUUAUGUA